rnacentral:tRNA from 1 species
AUCUCGGUGGUUUAAUGGCUCAGGACGCUCGUACGGAAUACAAAAGAUCCGGGUUCGACUCUCGGCCGAGGUA